rnacentral:pre_miRNA from 1 species
UUUCUACUCCCUUCGUCCCAUAUUAAGUGCCGAAAAUAUUACAUGUAUCUAGGCGUAUUUUAGUACAUAGAUAUGUCCAUUUUUAGAUAAAUUUGAGUCGCUUAAUAUGAGACGGAGGGAGUAUAAA